CGAACGCUGGCGGCGUGCUUAACACAUGCAAGUCGAGCGAGAAAGUCCCGCAAGGGAUGAGUACAGCGGCGAACGGGUGCGUAACACGUGGGUAAUCUACCCCCGAGGCGGGGAUACCCAGCGAAAGUUGGGCUAAUACCGGAUGAGACCACAGCAGGAAACUGCAGGGGUUAAAGGUGGCUUUCUUGUGGAGGCCAUCCUUUGAGGAGGAGCCUGCGGCCUAUCAGCUUGUUGGCGAGGUAAUGGCUCACCAAGGCGAAGACGGGUAGCUGGUCUGAGAGGAUGACCAGCCACACGGGGACUGAGACACGGCCCCGACUCCUACGGGAGGCAGCAGUGGGGAAUAUUGGGCAAUGGGGGAAACCCUGACCCAGCGACGCCGCGUGGGUGAUGAAGGCCUUCGGGUCGUAAAGCCCUGUCGGGAGGAAAGAACGACUCUAUGGCGAAUAACCAUAGAGUGUGACGGUACCUCCGAAGGAAGCACCGGCCAACUCCGUGCCAGCAGCCGCGGUAAGACGGAGGGUGCAAGCGUUGCUCGGAAUCACUGGGCGUAAAGGGCAGGUCGGUGGUCUGAUAAGUCUGUUGUGAAAGCUCCUGGCUUAACUGGGAGAGGUCAACAGAUACUAUCAGGCUAGAGUAUAGGAGAGGGUACUGGAAUUCCCGGUGUAGCGGUGAAAUGCGCAGAUAUCGGGAGGAACACCAAUGGCGAAAGCAGGUGCCUGGACUAUUACUGACACUCAGCUGCGAAAGCUAGGGGAGCAAACAGGAUUAGAUACCCUGGUAGUCCUAGCCGUAAACGAUGCACAUUAGACGUGAGGGGUAUCGACCCCCUUCGUGUCGACGCAAACGCAUUAAAUGUGCCGCUGGGGAGUACGGCUGCAAGGUUGAAACUCAAAGGAAUUGACGGGGGCCCGCACAAGCGGUGGAGCAUGUGGUUUAAUUCGACGCAACGCGAAGAACCUUACCUGGGCUCGAACUGCUGGAAGUAGAACUGAUGAAAGUCGGGACGACCUGUAAAGUCAGGAGCCAGUAGAGGUGCUGCAUGGCUGUCGUCAGCUCGUGUCGUGAGAUGUUGGGUUAAGUCCCGCAACGAGCGCAACCCUUACCCUAUGUUGCUACGUCUGUAAUGGACAGCACUCUUAGGGAACUGCCUCGGACAACGGGGAGGAAGGUGAGGAUGACGUCAAGUCCCCAUGGCCUUUAUGUCCAGGGCUACACACGUGCUACAAUGGCUGGUACAACGAGCAGCAAAUCCGCAAGGAGGAGCAAAUCUCUAAAAGCCAGCCCCAGUUCAGAUUGUGGGCUGCAAUUCGCCCACAUGAAGGUGGAUCGCUAUAAUCGGGGAUCAGCUGCCCCGGUGAUACGUUCCCGGGCGUGUACUCACCGCCCGUCA
rnacentral:rRNA from 1 species